rnacentral:rRNA from 1 species
UACGAAGGGGGCUAGCGUUGCUCGGAAUCACUGGGCGUAAAGGGCGCGUAGGCGGCUGAUUUAGUCGAGGGUGAAAGCCCGUGGCCCAACCACGGAAUGGCCUUCGAUACUGGUUGGCUUGAGACCGGAAGAGGACAGCGGAACUGCGAGUGUAGAGGUGAAAUUCGUAGAUAUUCGCAAGAACACCAGUGGCGAAGGCGGCUGUCUGGUCCGGUUCUGACGCUGAGGCGCGAAAGCGUGGGGAGCAAACAGG